rnacentral:rRNA from 1 species
UGUGGGUAGCGGAGAAAUUCCAAACGAACUUGGAGAUAGCUGGUUCUCUCCGAAAUAGCUUUAGGGCUAGCGUCGACAUUUGAGAAUCUUGGAGGUAGAGCACUGUUUGGAUGAGGGGGCCAUCUCGGUUUACUGAUUUCAGAUAAACUCCGAAUGCCAAUGAUUUAUGGUCGGCAGUCAGACUGCGAGUGCUAAGAUCCGUAGUCGAAAGGGAAACAGCCCAGACCACCAGCUAAGGUCCCAAAAUAAUUGUUAAGUGGAAAAGGAUGUGGGGUUGCACAGACAACUAGGAUGUUAGCUUAGAAGCAGCUAUUCAUUCAAAGAGUGCGUAAUAGCUCACUAGUCGAGUGACCCUGCGCCGAAAAUGUACCGGGGCUAAAACAAUUUACCGAAGCUGUGGAUAACACUUUAGUGUUAUGGUAGGAGAGCGUUCUAUGUGUGAAGAAGGUAUACCGUGAGGAGUGCUGGAACGCAUAGAAGUGAGAAUGCCGGUAUGAGUAGCGAAAGAUGGGUGAGAAUCCCAUCCACCGUAAGACUAAGGUUUCCAGGGGAAGGCUCGUCCGCCCUGGGUUAGUCGGGACCUAAGGAGAGACCGAAGGGUGUAUCCGAUGGACAACAGGUUGAUAUUCCUGUACUAGAGUAUGAAGUGAUGGAGGGACGCAGUAGGCUAACUAAAGCGGGCGAUUGGAAGUGCCCGUCUAAGCAGUGAGGUGUGAUAUGAGUCAAAUGCUUGUAUCUGUAACAUUGAGCUGUGAUGGGGAGCGAAGUUAAGUAGCGAAGUUAGUGACGUCACACUGCCGAGAAAAGCUUCUAGCGAUGUAUCAUACUCUACCCGUACCGCAAACCGACACAGGUAGUCGAGGCGAGUAGCCUCAGGUGAGCGAGAGAACUCUCGUUAAGGAACUCGGCAAAAUGACCCCGUAACUUCGGGAGAAGGGGUGCUGGCUUAAAGUCAGCCGCAGUGAAUAGGCCCAAGCAACUGUUUAUCAAAAACACAGCUCUCUGCUAAAUCGUAAGAUGAUGUAUAGGGGGUGACGCCUGCCCGGUGCUGGAAGGUUAAGAGGAGGGUUUAGCGCAAGCGAAGAUCUGAAUUGAAGCCCCAGUAAACGGCGGCCGUAACUAUAACGGUCCUAAGGUAGCGAAAUUCCUUGUCGGGUAAGUUCCGACCCGCACGAAAGGCGUAAUGAUUUGGGCACUGUCUCAACGAGAGACUCGGUGAAAUUUUAGUACCUGUGAAGAUGCAGGUUACCCGCGACAGGACGGAAAGACCCCAUGGAGCUUUACUGCAGUUUGAUAUUGAGUAUCUGUACCACAUGUACAGGAUAGGUAGGAGCCUACGAAGUCGGGACGCCAGUUUCGACUGAGGCGCUGUUGGGAUACUACCCUUGUGUUAUGGCUACUCUAACCCGGAUAGGUUAUCCCUAUCGGAGACAGUGUCUGACGGGCAGUUUGACUGGGGCGGUCGCCUCCUAAAAGGUAACGGAGGCGCCCAAAGGUUCCCUCAGAAUGGUUGGAAAUCAUUCGCAGAGUGUAAAGGUAUAAGGGAGCUUGACUGCGAGAGCUACAACUCGAGCAGGGACGAAAGUCGGGCUUAGUGAUCCGGUGGUUCCGUAUGGAAGGGCCAUCGCUCAACGGAUAAAAGCUACCCUGGGGAUAACAGGCUUAUCUCCCCCAAGAGUUCACAUCGACGGGGAGGUUUGGCACCUCGAUGUCGGCUCGUCGCAUCCUGGGGCUGUAGUCGGUCCCAAGGGUUGGGCUGUUCGCCCAUUAAAGCGGCACGCGAGCUGGGUUCAGAACGUCGUGAGACAGUUCGGUCCCUAUCCGUCGCGGGCGUAGGAAAUUUGAGAGGAUCUGCUCCUAGUACGAGAGGACCAGAGUGGACUUACCGCUGGUGUACCAGUUGUCUUGCCAAAGGCAUCGCUGGGUAGCUAUGUAGGGACGGGAUAAACGCUGAAAGCAUCUAAGUGUGAAACCCACCUCAAGAUGAGAUUUCCCAUAACUUUAUGUUAGUAAGAGCCCUGAGAGAUGAUCAGGUAGAUAGGUUGGAAGUGGAAGUGUGGCGACACAUGUAGCGGACCAAUACUAAUCGCUCGAGGACUUAUCCAA